rnacentral:rRNA from 1 species
AGGUUACUGCUAUCGGUGUUCGCCUAAGCCAUGCGAGUCAUAUGUUCUUCGUGAACAUGGCGUACUGCUCAGUAACACGUGGAUAACCUGCCCUUGGGUCCGGCAUAACCCCGGGAAACUGGGGAUAAUUCCGGAUAACGCACAUAUGCUGGAAUGCUUUAUGCGUCAAAUGGAUUCGUCCGCCCAAGGAUGGGUCUGCGGCCUAUCAGGUAGUAGUGGGUGUAAUGUACCUACUAGCCUACGACGGGUACGGGUUGUGAGAGCAAGAGCCCGGAGAUGGAUUCUGAGACAUGAAUCCAGGCCCUACGGGGCGCAGCAGGCGCGAAAACUUUACAAUGCGGGAAACCGUGAUAAGGGGACACCGAGUGCCAGCAUCCUAUGCUGGCUGUCCGGGUGUGUAAAAUACACCUGUUAGCAAGGGCCGGGCAAGACCGGUGCCAGCCGCCGCGGUAACACCGGCGGCCCGAGUGGUGAUCGUGAUUAUUGGGUCUAAAGGGUCCGUAGCCGGUUUGGUCAGUCCUCCGGGAAAUCUGACAGCUUAACUGUUAGGCUUUCGGAGGAUACUGCCAGACUUGGAACCGGGAGAGGUAAGAGGUACUACAGGGGUAGGAGUGAAAUCUUGUAAUCCCUGUGGGACCACCUGUGGCGAAGGCGUCUUACCAGAACGGGUUCGACGGUGAGGGACGAAAGCUGGGGGCACGAACCGGAUUAGAUACCCGGGUAGUCCCAGCCGUAAACGAUGCUCGCUAGGUGUCAGGCAUGGCGCGACCGUGUCUGGUGCCGCAGGGAAGCCGUGAAGCGAGCCACCUGGGAAGUACGGCCGCAAGGCUGAAACUUAA